UGACAUCACGUGACGGUGUCCCGGUUAGCUUCACAAUGUCCAUUUGUCGACUUUAGUUCCUGAGAAAUGUCAUUCUGCUAAGAAAUGGACACAGACAAAGACUAAACGACGCGCAACAGUUCAGUUUAACAGCUUUUAAUAUUGUAUUUAUUAGCGGUGUCGUUGUAGAGUUGACGCAAUGGCGUCUAUCAACACUUUUUCCGGAGUGAACGUCGUUUUGGUUAUGGCGUACGGCACCCUGGUGUUCGUGUUGCUGUUCAUCUUCAUGAAGAGGCAGAUCAUGCGCUUCGCCAUGAAGUCCAGGAGAGGCCCCCACGUGCCGCUGGGACACAACGCACCAAAAGACCUGAAGGAGGAGAUUGAACUCCGGCUGUCCAAGGUGCAGGACAUCAAGUAUGAGCCUCAGCUGCUGUCUGAGGGCGAUGAGAGGCUGCAGCAGCUGCAGGAACCGGGCAGCCCGUGUUGUUUUAACUAUCUGUACAGAAUGAGAGCUCUGGAUGCCAUCAGGACCUCGGGUAUUCCUUUCCGUGAAGUCUGUAAAAACCCCAAGUCUCUGACGGGCAGGAAUUUCCGGAGUUUCCUCCUGGAUCUGCGGAACGCCAGCUCUCCGUUCCGGGGAGUCCAAAAGAACCUGAUCGACACCCUGCUGGACGGAUAUGAGUCCGCACGCCACGGAACCGGGGUUUUUGGAGAGACGGAAUACCUGAAGUACCAGGAUGCACUGAACGAGCUGGCCGCAGUGUAAGAGGAAGAACACCCUGUGACUUUCUGUCUUUAAGUAACCUGGACGGGAUUUUAACCCUGAAGUUUGGAGUCAGAAUAACUUCCUCUCGGGGCUCCUUCGCUACACAGGCUUGAAAUGUGCAGUUUUGAAAGAAGCACGUGUUCUAUAACAUGUGUUUUUAUUUUAAAACCUAGACGCCUGGGACUACACCAGGUUACAGAACGGGUGACGGCACGCAGGACCUCCAGCAGUGGACACAAGCAGCCCCCACCCGCCCCGACCCUGGAGCACAGCACCCCCCCAGAGACCCCCCCUCCCUCCACCAUCC